rnacentral:rRNA from 1 species
UACGUAGGGGGCGAGCGUUGUCCGGAUUUAUUGGGCGUAAAGAGCUCGUAGGCGGUUCGAUAAGUCGGAUGUGAAAUCUCCACGCUCAACGUGGAGGGGCCAUUCGAUACUGUCGUGACUCGAGUCCGGUAGGGGAGUGUGGAAUUCCCGGUGUAGCGGUGAAAUGCGCAGAGAUCGGGAGGAAUACCAGUGGCGAAGGCGGCUUCUUGGCCUGUUCUUGACGCUGAGGCGCGAAAGCUGGGGGAGCAAACGGGG